rnacentral:rRNA from 1 species
GACGAAGGGGGCUAGCGUUGUUCGGAAUACUGGGCGUAAAGCGCGUGUAGGCGGUUGCCCAAGUCGGGUGUGAAAGCCUUGAGCUCAACUCAAGAAAUGCACUCGGUACUGGGUGACUAGAGGACCGGAGAGGAUAGUGGAAUUCCCAGUGUAGUGGUGAAAUACGUAGAGAUUGGGAAGAACACCAGUGGCGAAGGCGGCUAUCUGGACGGUUUCUGACGCUAAGACGCGAAAGCGUGGGGAGCAAACAGG